UUUUGGUUUUGGGCCGGGCAUAAUUGGGCCUGUACACAUAUAUUGAGAAGAUGUUUCCCAACCAUGUCAGGCUUGUUAAACGAGAGAGGUUUCAAGAAUUUUUGAGCUUACGUAUUCAUGAUCAAUUGUAUGCAAAUCUUUUCAAUCCCUCAUAUUUUGCAGUGGAUGGGAUAUGGUGUUUGGAAUUCUUAGUUGGAGCUUGAGGAAUGAGAUGAAUAGUAGGAUACUGAAUGAGGCAUUCUUUGCAUGGGAGAACAUCCUUGAAAGAGGAAGUCGAUUGUGGAAUGAGGUGAUCAAAGCAAGGUCAGAUUUGCAAGCAAAACUUGGCAGGGUCGUACUAGGGAAUGGGAGAGAAACCACCUCUCGGUUGGUAUAAGAUUAAAUACUGAUAAUGGUAGAAGCAGUACAACCGGCUUUGUUGCCACGGGUGGGGUAUUAUGGGGGUCGUUGGUUUAGGGGAUUUGCGCAUAACCUUGGUUGUUGCUCAGUCACUGAAGUAGAAAUGUGGGGGGCGUAUGAUGAUUUUUAUAACAUGCUUGGAACAUGGGGGCGAGAAGGAGGAGCGCCUUGCAGUGGUCUAGCUACUUCGCAAUGAAAUAGAAAUGCAGAGCAGCAAUGCAGUCUAUCCUUCAAAUUGAAGUAUGUUGGAAAUGGGUCCGAACGUUAAUAUUAUAUGAGUCUACAUGGAAGGAAACGGUCUUCCUUCCCACUUCACGUUUCAUUUACUAAACCAAUAACUGGCUUGAUCAUUCUUGUCUUCAUGGAAGAAGGAAACUGCAAAAGAUAGGAUAAAAACCGCCCCCCCUCCCCUCCCCACCCAAAAAAAUUACUAACAUUGUGGGGAGGGAUAACUACAAACUCAAACAUGGACAAUAAAACAAACAUAAAAAAUACCAAAUGUAUAUAUAAUUAUCGAUAUCUAAACAAUCCGGUAUGUUGGUAUUAUGAAUUUAUUGUAUUCUAAAAUCUCGUUUUAAAUAUAUAUUUUCUUAAAGAGAGACUCUGAGAGAGAGAAGACAUGUAGAAGAACAUUAGGAGGAUUCUUCUCAAAAUUGCCAACACAGUCACUUACACUUUCAUAAUAUCAACUUACAAUUAACUUAAAAAGAAGAGACAAGUAACAAAUUUGAGGUCUUAUAAACAAGACGUAUGUCAAAAUGCUUAUGCAAUUAACUACUACUUCAUAUUUACUAAACCAUUCGGCUUGGUCUUUUUGUCUUCAUGGAGGAACUUGCAAAAGAUAGGGAUGAAACCAUCAUACACCCCCCCAAAAAAAAAACAAACCAAUGCAAUCAACCUUACAACAUAGAUAUAAUUACUAACCUUGGAUGAUAUUGUGGGGAGAGAUAACCACGAUUUUCUUAGAGAGAGAGAGAGAUGACAUGUGGAAGAGCAUUAAGAGGAUUCUUUUCAAAAUUUCUAAGAGAGUCACUUACACUUUUUUAAUAUUGACUUAUAAUUAACUUAAAAAGAAGAGACAAAUAUAUAGCAAUUUUGGAGUCUUAUAAACAAGCAAGACGUAUGUUAAAAUGCUUAUGCAAUUAACAACUACUGGACAUUUACUAAACCAAUUGGCUUGGUAUUUUGUCUUCAUGAAACUUGGUAAAGAGAGUGAUGAAACCAUCAUACACCCCAGAAAAUGACAGAUAAAAUCACUAACCUUGAACGACAUUGUUGAAAGAGGCAGUUACAAACUUAAAUAUGGACAGCAAAAAUGAUAUCUAAACAAUCCGUUAUGUUGGUAUUAUGAAUUUAUUGUAUUUCAAAAAUUUAUAUUUUCUUAGAGAGAGAGAGGGAGAUAUGGAGAGAGGGAGAGGGAGAGAGAGAGAAGGAGAGAGAAAGGGAGAGAGGGGGAGAGAGGGAGGGAGGGAGGGAGGGAGGAAGGGAGGGAGGGAGGGAGAAGGAGCAUUAGGAGGAUUCUUCUCAAAACUACUAAGAGAGUUACUUAUACUUUCAUAAUAAUGACUUACAAUUUGCUUAAAAAGAAAAGACAAGUAACAAAUUUGGAGUCGUAUAAACAAACAAGACUUCUGUUAAAAUGCUUAUACAAUUAACCACUACACAUUUACUAAUCCAAUUGGCUUGGUCUUCAUGUCUUCAUGGCGGAAUCUGCAAAAGAUAAGGAUGAAACCAUCAUAUACCCCCCCCAAAAAAACCAAUUCAAUCAACCCUAUGUUACAUAAUUACUAACAUUGAACGAUAUUGUAAGGGAGAGGUAACCACGAUUUUCUUAGAGAGAGAGAAAUGAUAUGUGGAAGAGCAUUAGGAGGAUUCUUUUGAAAAUUGCUAAGAGAGUUACUUACACUUUCUUAACUUACAAUUAACUUAAAAAAAAGAAAGAAAAAUAACAAUUUUGGAGUCUUAUAAACAAGCAAGUCGUGUGUUAAAACGCUUAUGCAAUUAACCACUACUUCACAUUUACUAAACCAAUCGACUUGGUCUUCUUUUUUUUCAUUGCAGAUCCUGCAAAAGAGAGGGAUGAAACCAUCAUACACCCCCCCAAAAAAUGACAGAUAUAAUUACUAAUCUUGAACGACAUUGUUGGGAGGGACAGUUACGAAAUUAAACAUUGACAGUACAAUGAACAUGAAAAAUACCAAAUAUAUAUAAUCAUCGAUUUCUAAACAAUCUGGUAUGUUGGUGUUAUGAAUUUAGUGUAUUUCAAUAUAUAUAUUUUGUUAAAGAGGGAGAGAGAGAGAGAGAGAGAGCAUUAGGAGGAUUUUUCUCAAAAUUGCCAAGAGAGUCACUUACACUUUCAUAAUACCGACUUACAAUUAACUUAAAAAGAAAAACAAAUAACAAUUUUAAAGUUUUAUAAAUAAACAAGACGUGUCUUAAAACACUUACGCUAUUAACCACCAUUUCACAUUUACUAAACCAAUUAGCUUGGUCUUCUUCAUGGAGAAACUCCCAAAAGUGAUGCAACCUAUCCACGAUGAUAGUGAUGAAACCAUUAUACAACCCCCUCCCCUAAAAAAAAAAAACAUUUUAAUCAACCUUACAUGAUGGAUAAAAUUAUUUACUUUGAACAAUAUUAUUGAAAGGGGAAACUAUAAACUUAAACAUAAAUAGUAAAAUGGAUAUGAAAAAUACCAAAUAUAUAUAAUUACUGAUAUUUAAACAAUUUUGUAGGUUGGUAUUAUAAAUUUAGUGUAUUUCAAAAUCUCGUUUUAAAUAUAAAUUAGAGAGAUUCUUCUCAAAAGUCACUUACACUUUCAUAAUAUUGACUUAAAACGAAAAGAUAAGUAACAAGUUUAGAUUCUUAUAAACAAGUUAUGUGAUAAAAUGCUUAUGAAAUUAACCACUACUGCCCCCUAAUAUUUCACCUACGCACUCUAAAUUACUUCGUUUAUCUAAUGUUUUGUGCGUUCCGACUAUAAGGAAAAAUCUCCUAUCUGUAUCUCAGUUUGCCAUUGACAAUGGUGUGUUUUUUGAAUUUCACCCAACGUAUUAUGUUAUUAAGGAUAGCAUGACUCGGGAAAUAUUGCUGAAGGGCCACAUUCGUGAUGGGCUCUAUCAUUUUUCUCUGUUGGUUGCAUCUGCUCAGUUUGCUGUAGCUUCUUCUACUACCCACAUUGGACUUCAGAAUCAGUCUGACGACUAUGCUAUAUUUUCUGUGGCACAAACGCCUUGGUCAUCCUUCUACUUCUGUUGUUAAAUCUGUUUUAAAUAAAUUUAGUAUUACUUCAAAUAAAGCCUCUUUUGAUAAUGUUUGUACCGCUUGUCAAAAAGGGAAAUCCCAUAAAUUGCCCUUUCCUGAUUCGACUACUGAAUACAAUAAUCCGUUUGCCUUGGUUGUCUCUGAUCUCUGGGGUCCUGCAUCAGUUGCCUGUGGUAAUAAUUGGUAUUAUGUAUCUUUUAUUGACAUGUGCACUCAUCUUACUUGGAUUUAUCUUCUUUGACGAAAGUCUCAGGUCGUAGAUUGCUUUGUUCAGUUUCAGUAAUUAGUCAAAACUCAGUUUGGGAAAACUAUCAAACAAUUUCAAAGUGAUUGAGGCGACGAAUAUCGAGCCUUCACUUCUGUUCUUGCAACUCAAGGGAUAAUUCAUCAGUUGUCUUGUCUGCAUACCUCUGAACAGAAUGGAGUGGCUAAACGCAAACAUCGGCAUAUUGUUGACAUGGGCGUCACACUUUUGGCUCAAGCGAAUCUCUCUAUAGAAUUUUGGGCCUAUAUUUUUUUUGUGUUGUUCAUCUCAUGAACCGUCUUUCUACCUUGGUUCUGAAAGGACAGAUUCCGUAUCACGUUCUUCAUGGACAAGAUCCCACAUAUGAUCAUCUACGCGUAUUUGGGUGUUGCUAUUUUCCAUAUUUACGUUUGUCUCAACGUCAUAAAUUGGAUUUUUGAUCUCAACCCUGUACAAUCUUGGGAUAUAGUUCUGAACACAAAGGAUAUCAGUGUCUUCUACCGGAUGGUAAGAUUAUCCUUUCUCGUCAUGUUGUGUUCGAUAAACAAUGAUUUUUGUCUUCUUUGUCUGCUACGCAGGGUUCCAUGUCUUCAUCUGGUUCCAUAACGAUGUUUGUUCCUAUUGUAAAGACUAUCCCUUCUCGGCCCGUGGAGCUCUCAUCUCCUCUACCGUCAUCUUUUUCUCCUAUUUGCUACCCCUCACCUACUGUUUUUAAGGUUCCUCAAGCUGAGGUGGGCUCUGGCCGUGAGACUCAUAGUUCUACCUCAUUACCCAAUGGUGAUGUUGAUUCUAGCUCUACCAUGUCUCCUACUACUGUUUAGUCCUCCCUUUUGGUUCAAGAAUCUUCUUGGCCUUUGAAAAAUACUCAUUCGAUGGUUAUUCGGUCUAAGGCUGGCAUUUUUAAGCCCAAGGCUUUGUCUUUUGAGGCUAUUGAGCCCCACACCAUUGAGGAGGCUUUUUCUACCACCGAAUGAUGUACUGCAGCUCAAGCAGAAUUUCAUGCUCUUAUUCAUAAUUCCACAUGGGAUUUUGUUUCGUUACACCUAAUCGCAAGGUAAUCAGGUGUAAAUGGCUUUUCAAGGUCAAGAAAAAUACUGAUGGCAUUAUCACCCGUUGCAAGGCUCGGUUGAUUGCUAAAGGAUGUUCUCAGGCCCUUGGAUCUGAUUUCAAGGAAAUGUUCUGUCCAGUGAUCAAACUUGCCACUUUUUGAGUCAUUCUAUCAGUUGCUGUCUCCAACGAAUGGCAGCUCCGUCAAGUUGAUGUGAAUAAUGCUUUUUGAAUGGUGACCUUGCUGACGAAGUGUUCAUACAACAACUUCCGAGGUAUGUUCAGUAUGGUUCGAAUGGAAAAUCAUUAGUCUAUCGUCUGAAGAAAGCUUUAUAUGGGCUUCGUCAGGCCCCACGUGCUUGGUUUGAUAAAUUGAAGACUUUUCUCGUUUCUGUUGGCUUUGUUAUAUCCAAAUCUGAUGUAUCUCUGUUUUUUCGAAUUACAACUAACUCUACUCUUUAUGUGUUUGUGUAUGUGGAUGACAUUAUCAUUACUGGAAGUAUACCUACUUGUAUAACUAGCUCUGUUCAGCAGUUGAACGACAAGUUCUCACUUAAAGAUACGGGCUAUCUCCUCUAUUUUCUCAGGAUUGGGGUUACUCGUUCCUUCACAGGGUGUUAUCAUCAUUGCCAAAGAAAGUACAUCCGUGAUCUACUCGACAAGAGUUCUAUGACUCAAGCAAAGAGUGUCCAUACUCCAAUGAUUAGCUCAUCUACUCUGCCCAAGGAUGAAGGGGACCGUCUCAGUUAUACUACUGAGUACAGAAGUCUUGUAGGUGCUUUACAGUAUGUGGUUUUGACUCAUUCAGAUAUUGCAAUGCGGUAAAUCAUAUAUGCCAGUUCAUGCAUACACCCAUUACUGUUCAUCUUGUCGCCUUAAAAAGAAUCCUGUGAUAUUUAUGUGGUACACUUAAUUAUGGGAUUUUUUUUCGUCCAUCCGUCUGACUUUCUUUAGUUGGUUAUGCAGACGCUAACUAGGCGCUAAAUUUUGACGAACGUCGCUCUACGAUAGGCUAUUGUGUAUAUUUUGGUCACACACAUGUCUCUUGGUAUUCCAAUAAGCAGCAAGUGGUUUUGCAAUUUACGACUGAGGUUGAAUAUUGAAGUCUUUUUGUAGCUACUAGUGAUAUUACUUGGUUGGUCUCGUUACUAAAGGAGUUGCAACUUCAAAAUGUUGAUCCACAUACUAUUUGGUGUAACAACUCUUAUGCAGUUGCCGUAGCUACCAAUCUUAUUUUACAUUCCAAAUUCAAACAUGUCAAGCUUGAUCUAUUUUUUGUAUGCGAAAAAGUCACCGACAACUCCAUUGUUGUUGGUGAGGUUCCUGCGUGUGAUCAAGUCGCCAACAUUCUCACCAAUCCACUCACUGUAUCUUCCUUUGCUAGAUUUCGAAAUCUUCUUCGAGUCUUACCUCUCAAGAAGAUGGAUGAAGGUUAAGAGUAUAGUUGACUCUGUUAUUGAGGUAGCCUAUUAGCUGUUAGUCUGUCAAUCAAGUAGAAAAGCUGUUAGCAAUAAUAGUUACUCUUGUAUUCUAUAAAUACUAUCACUAUAAUAUACAAUUCAACAUAUACUAGUCCAGAUACAAAGAUUUCUUUCAAAUACUCAACAUAUUUCUAGUCUAUCUUUUCAAUACGUAGUAGUGCUUUCAUUCAUUCAAUUAUCAAUAUAUUAGUUAUUCACCAUAAAUGUUAACAAUAUGGAUUAGGAACAACAUUGAAAGUCGGGGAGGGACAUUAAUGAUUGGAAGAGAGAGAGAGAGAGAGAGAGCCAUAGAAAGGUUUGAAAUCACAUUGAACGCCUUAUUGCAAGAUGUUGGCCCGUGACUUUUGAAAGUUGUUUAUUAUAAAACCAUGACUUUUUUUUUGAUUAGUGGUUUAUAAUGAAACCAAUAAGCAGCUGGGCAGUUAAUCUUAUUGCAAAAUGGAAAAAGGAAAAGAAUAAAUUACUUUAAAAGUUUGGCCCUCGAGAAAACAAUUUCUAUUCGUAUUUUUUGAAAAUUGAAAAUGAAAAUCUAUUUCUCAAAAAAAAUAUAUGUACUAUUAUGAAAUUAUUUUCAUAAUUGAAACAUGAGAUAUAAUUACUAAAUAGUAAUUAAUAGUGUAGGUUUUAAUUAAAUGUGUUAUUAAUAUAAAAUAAAAUUAAUUUAUAUAAAAAGUGGUUCUAGACUUCUAGUAUUCGUGGCCAUCUCUCUGGGGCUGUGGUUUAUAUGGAUUCUCUUACUAAAAUAUUUCGAAUAUAAUGGAGGUGUCUGCGAAUUUGUUUCACAAUAUUUGGAAUUGGUCAAUUUGAGAAAUGGAUUAAUCAAAAUCUUCUUUUCUUAAUCUAAAAGAUUGAGUUUCUUAAGACAAUUCAAUAGUUUUGUACGGUCUUGUAAAAAAUUGUUACCAAAAGGAACAAAAAAUUAAGACCAUUCAUACUAACUUGGGCAGUUCUUAAGCAAUCAACCUUUGAUCUUCCUGUUGGAAGAUGCAUCGUUGAUAAUAUUAUUAUUGUAUAAAAAUGAUUCAUAUAAUAUGUAAGAGGUCAGGCAAGUAAGAGCGGGUGGUGACUAAAAUUAAUCUCGAGAAAACUUAUGAUAUAUUGGAUUGGAAUUUUAUAGAGGAUGUACUUGUUGAUAUUGAGCAACAUAGUUAAUUACAUAAUUUUGUAUUGUGUCAUAAAUUGCUUUCUAUGCAGAUUGUUUGGAAUUAUAAUUUAUUUGAACAUUAUUUAUUUGUAGCCGAAUCAAUUACUCAAGCCGUGAGUAUGGGUAGAUGGGAACUAAUUAAGCUAACAAGGGGUGAUUCGAGUGUUAAGAUGGCUUAAUUUUGUUUACAGAAGCUUCGAUUGAGCAAAUGAAACUUGUUAGGGAUAAAUUGGAUGCCUUUUGUUAUUGCUUCAUAAGCGAGUAAUUAAAGCUACGUAUCAAUAUUACUAAUAUGAGAUAAAAAAUGUCUAAGUGCAAGGUAAAACUCUUUUGCUAUCAGAAGAAUAACUCUCACCGAGGCAUGUUGGUCGUCGUUCUUAUAUAUGCAAUACAAUGGACAUUUCUACAGAAAGGAAUAAGCUCGAUAAUAGGGAAAAUCAUACAAAACCUUGUUGGGGGCACAUAGAAGACUAAAUUUUUUUUUUGACAACAAGACCUAAAGAGAUCAACCUUCAAUUAAUAGCAUCAUCAAUUACAAUAUUAUGGAUCACCGUAGGGUUAUCCAUACCAAAAACCAAAUGACCCUCGUGAGUAAUGGCAUAAUUGCAUAAAAGGUCUGCCACCUUAUUACAUUUGCAAUUGACCAAUUAACAGCCACAUUAUUGAACACAUCCAUAGUUUUAAAGCAUUCAUUAAUGCGGUAACCCGUGAUAGUAAUAUCCUCCCUACGCUUCUUAAUUCUGUUUGUGAGGAUGGCAAGAAGAUAAAGAUUUGAUUUAGUGAAAAAGGGUGAUAUUUGUCAACUGACGUCUCAAGGUGGCCUUGGAAUUAAAGGGUUGGAUUGACAGAAUGCUGCAUUGGGUUUUAUCUGGUGCUUUAAGAUUGAUCAACUUCGGUUCAACUACUACGAACUAAGUAUAAGUGAGGAGUUAGGCGUUGAAUCAUAUGGAACAUUGGGGAUGUUGUGAGGUGGAUUUUGGGCGCGACUCUUGGGUAAAAAACUAUAGCCUUUGAUGAACAGUAGUAUCCGACUAGACCUUGCGCGUUCUAAUAGUGUGCCUAUAUGUAAUAUGAUGGAUCAUAUUGGGGAUUGGAAUUGGAUACAAUUCAAACACUUACUGACUGAAUCGAUAGCUUUAAAAAUUAGUGCCUUGUGGCCUCUUUUGCAGUCGAAUAUCCCUGACUUCUCUGGGUGGCGUUGGGAGAGAAGACAUGUUUUUAUCACUAAGUCAGCUUAUUAUUAUGCAAUGGAUAACCAAAAUAGCUUGGAGCCUGAUAAACUUUGGCGAUGUUUUUGGAGUUACGAGGGCCAUCAUAGAGUCAAUUUGGGGCACGUUGCAGGUAAUUCGGUGUACAGCUAUCGUGAAGACGACAUAUCAUAUAUUGGGAAGAUGUUUCUUAACCAUGUCAGGCUUGUUAACGAGAGAGGCUUAGAGAAUUUUAAAGCUUACGUAUUCAUGAUCAAUUGUAUGCAAAUCUUUUCAAUCCCUCAUGUUUUGCAGUGGAUGGGAUAUGGUGUUUGGAAUUCUUAGUUGGAGCUUGAGGAAUAAGAUGAAUAGUUGGAUACUGAAUGGGGCAUUCUUUACAUGGGAGAACAUCCUUGAAAGAGGAGGCCGAUUAUGGAAUGAGGUGACCAAAGCAAGGUCAGAUUUUGUUGGGUUUUUGAACAAUUUAUCUGGAGGAAGUAUGAAGCUUAGUGUAAAACUUGAGCAACAACGUAAUAAAUCUGGAUAAAGAAUAAAGGAAGAUUGAGCUUCAAAAGGCUCAAUAUUUUCAGGAUAAACAAACAGAAUUUUACUUGGGAAAAGAACGCAAAAAUUGAGAGAGUAUUUUUCUUGAAUGACUUCUAUGAAAAUUCAUUGAUAAAAAAGAUUGCAUAAUGCCAAUACAUAUACCAGUCAUAAGCUGGUCAGCUUUGACAGGUUUCACUUACUAUUUUUAGGCUUUAUUGCAACUUGCAAAGCACAAUUUGCGUAAUUAGGUAAGCUGAUCUAUCAAUCUUAUUAGCACCGAAUGAAUUAAAUACAUUACCUACUUGGUUCAAAUUAAACUAAGUUACAAAAUAUUACUUAAAGUAACAAAAUGAAACCGAAAUUGAACAGUAACAUCAACUUCAGUAGCUGCAUGUACUUUUUCUGCAAAUACUAUAGCAGCUUGAUCUUUAUUUUUCACCCACAUAACUUGGACUGCAUGUACUUCAUCCGCAUAACUUAUGUUGCAUUCUCUGCUUCUUGGCUGCUUCAUGUGCUGCAUGCAGGCCAACUUCAACACUCCUCAUUGGCUUGCAUGCUACAAACUCCCAUUUUGGUUAUUAAAUCUUCAAAUCUUAACACAUUAAGGGGCUUUGUUAAGAUAUCAGCAAGUUGUUCUUUAGAACUGCAACGAAUCAGCUUCACUUCUUGAGCUUGCUCCAUCUCUCUAACAAAGUGAAAUUUGAUCUUGAAAUGUUUCGUUCUCCUAUAAAACACUGGAUUUUUUGCAAUUGCAACAGCAGAUUGGUUGUCACAAUUGAUCUCUGUUGCUUCCCUUUGGUGUAGAUUCAAAGCAACCAUGAGUUUUCUCAGCCACAUGGCUUUAUUUACAACACUAGUAGCUACUACAUAUUCUACUUCAGCAGUUGAUUGAUCAACAAUAUUUUGCUUCUUCGAACUCUAGCAAAAAAUGGUUGAACCAAGGGUGAAUAGAUACCUUGAGGUACUCUUCAUAUCAUCUAUUGAUCCAGCCCAAUCACUAUCAGCAUAGCGAAUUAAUUUCAUGUUUUCAACUUUGCUAAACAACAUUCCAUAGCUUUGUGUACCUUUGAUGUACCUGACCACUCUUUUGGCAGCUUAAAAGUGCUUUUCAAUGCAGCAAUGCAUGAAUCUUGAAAGCAAACUUACAGCAGACAUAAUGUAUGGUCUAGUGGCAGUUAAAUAGAGUAAACAUCCAGCUAGACUUCUGUAGGUUGAUUCACUAACCUUUUCAAAAUCACCUUGGCUUGAUAGUUUCUCUCCAAUAGCAACUGAUGUACUUGUUGCCUUGCAAUUUUGCAUGGAGAAUUUGCUCAGAAUUUUAGAGACAAAAGCUUUCUGGCUUAGGAAGAUCCAUGAUGUGUUUGUGAUACUUCCAUGCCAAGAAAGUAAGACAGUUGUCCCAAAUCUAACAUCUCAAACACUUGUUGCAUUUUGCAUUUGAAGUCUGUCAGCAUUGCUUGGUCUCCUCCUGUCACUAACAGAUCAUCAACAUAUAGAGGCACUAUCAGUUGAGUUUUACUACCUUGCUUUUUCAUAUACAAGGUAGGUUCACUAAUGCUUCUUUCAAAUCCAAGGCUAGCUAGAUAGCCAUCGAUCUUGCUAUACCGGGCUCUUGGAGCUUGUUUCAAGCCAUAUAAGGCUUUCUUCAGUUUGUACACCUUAUCCUCUUCAACAACAAUUUUGAAGCCUUCAGGCUGCUCAACAUAUAUUUCUUCUUCAAGAAAACCAUUGAGAAUGGCUGACUUCACAUCGAUCUGAUGGAUUUUCCAUUGCAUUUGUGCUACUAAGGCAAUUAGCAGCCUUAUGGUAUCAAGCCUAGCUGUAGCAGCCCAAAUUUGACCGGGCCUUAAAACCAAAAUAGAAAUACAAAAAUAAAUAAAUAAAUAAAUAAAUAAAUGUUUAUUUAUUUAAACAGUCCAUGUACAAGAGCCCAAACACAAGCCCAAAUACCUAAACCUAUGUACCCAAUUAUAGCUAACCCAACUAAACACGGCAGUUUUAACCCAUCUACCAGGCUAGCCCAAAUUUAAAACAGCCCAAAAGGCCCAAAGGACUUAAGGGAAACAAGAAACCCUAGGAUUUCCUAAACACUGUGGCGCCGCAAUAGGUUCUAGAGGAUUCGGGGAGCGUCUGUUCAGUCCCCGAAAUCGAGGCCGCCAUUAAUGCGUUGUCCCAAGGGCCUUCAAUGCCCACCAGGGCCCCGGUCACAGUUCGUCCCUCUAUUCGGCCCCAAAUCUCGUCACAAACAGCACGACCAUCACCGAAAUCUUCGGGGUACCUGCAAGAAAAGGAAAGAAAUCAAAGCAAGAUUGCAGUAAAUAGAUUAGAACAGAGUUUGGAAAGAAAUCUUUCGAUUUCUUUCCAAAAUAGGCAGUAGACUAAGGCUAUAAAGCUUUUUUUCAAAUCUGUAAAAAACACAUGGACAUAGAGAGAAACAGACCAAAAAGAUUGUACACCAAAUAUUUUUGCAAUAAUAUAUCAGAAGGAUUUCGAGACAAACGAAGGUGAUCUAUUGUUUCCACAUUUAUUUUAUUUCUUUAUUGUAAACAACUUGUAUAUAAUACAUUAAAAUAGAAGAGAGGAAAAUACCUUCUAGAUUCGCUGAGAAAAGAGAAGCUUUUCGGAUCCCGACCGUCGUGUGUGGAGGAGUUGGUGACGGCGCGUGAGGCUGAGCACGGAGGUCCGAUGAACGGAGCAGACCGGCCUAGGGCCGGAGCUCAGAGGGCUAGGGAAUUUUCAGAGGAUUUCUCUCGUUUUUUUCUAAACCAGGGGCUAAAUGAUUUUUUAGGUUAAAACUUGGCUUAUAUAGCCUAAAAGGAACGGUGCCGUUUUGGCUUAAGUCAAUAAGCCUAAAAACGACAUCGUUUUAAGGUCCCAGGAUCCGCGCGUUGACCCGAUUACCCGGGGAGGAUCCGCGUGUUUUUGAAGAAUGGGUUAAUUACUCAACUGGUCCUUUUGCGAUUUUAAUAUUUAUAAUUCCAUUUUAUUUAUUUUAAAUUUAGCUCUAAUGUUUUAAUGAUGUUUCAAUUUAGUCCUCUCGGUGAUUUUAAAACAGUAUUUGGGAAACAGUGUCGUUUUGUGAUUAGGGCAAAUUGCCCAGUGAGUCCCUUGUUGUUUUUUUCUUUCAAAUCAGGCCAAAAUCUUUGUUUAGUUUGAAAUUAACCCUAAAGUUUUUUUAAUUAAUUUUAAUUUUUGUCCUUAUUACUUUAAUUUAACUAAGAUACUUUAUAUAUUAUUUAUUUUUAUAAAUAUUAGUUAUAUAUUAUCUAUUAUAUUAUUUUUAUCUUAUCUAUAAAUUAUUUUAUUUUGUUAUAUAUAUUUCCUUAUAUUUUUAUUAUUAUUUAUUAAAUUUGUAAAUUGUAAAUUUUUUUUAUAAUAGUAUUCAUAUUUCAUUUUUUAUAUAUUACAUUCCCUCUUUUAUUAUUCCCUCUUUUAUUAUACAUUUUUAUUACGUAUGUAUAUUAUUUAUUUUAUUAUAUAAAAAUUACUUAUAUCCUAUUUAUUAUUUUAUAUUUUACCUAUAAUAUAGGCUAUAUAUAUUGCAUGUUCAAAGAUUUUUAUUACAUGAUAUAUUUUCAUUUCAUUAUUUAUUUUACUAUAUGGAAAAUAUUUGUUACAUUAGUAUCAUUAUACACCAUAUUAUAUUUCAUUAUAAUUAUUUAUGUAUUUCUAUUACAUACUAUGUUUCUAUUAUUUAGUAUUCCUUAUAAUAUUUAUCUUUCUUAUAUAUAUUUUUUAUAUAUAUCUAUUUUGUUUUUUUAUGUGUUAUAUAUUAUAUAGGCAAAAUACUUAUUAUAUAUUUAUUAUCAUUUUUAUAUUAUAUUUCCUUAUAUUUUAUUCAUAUCGCAUUAUUAUUUAUAACUUAUUUCACAUUUUUUAAAAUUUAUAUUUUUUUAUCGAUAAUUACUCACUUUAUGUUACAUUUUAAUAUACAUUAAUUCUUUUUAUGUUGAACAUAUCAUGUAUAUAUUGAAUAUUGUUUUAUGAUUAUUAAAGGUUGUAUUUAGAAUUGACAUGUAUGUUAAUAUUAUUUUGGGCAUGAUUAUGUUAAAUUGUAUGCCAUGCAUCAUCUUUUGUUUAUUAAUUUAUUAAAACGUAUAUAGAGUUAUACCUUAUAGGUUCAUAUGCUUACUUAUUCAUUUUUAAUGUAUGUAGUAUGUUUUUGUACGUAUGUUUUACAUGUUUUGAGGUUGCCAUGUUUAUUGUUUAAUUUUUUUUUAAAUUCAUGCUUUAUUUACCUAUUAUUAUAACAUGUUAUCUCGUUUGUUAUGUUAAUAUGCUCCUUCAUGCAUCGAUUCUAAAAACAAGACUCUAAAGUUUUCAAAAAAUAAAGGCAAUGCUUGACGUUUGGAAAUUUCAAGAAAAGUAGUGCCCUAACUUAUUGGGUUGCAAUUUUUCUCGUUGAGUUCGAAUAGUCAAGCACCCUUCUAAGUUUUAAGGUUGUCAUAGUGCAAGCGACUGUCUCGGAAUUUCAAGGCGAUGUGUCCUAACUUACUGGAUAUGGCGUUUUGCUGUUUCGAGAUGGGGAUUUUCAAAAAGGCUAACUUAGUGUCAAUAUUUUGAUACAAGUGAACCCCAAUUUUCAAAAUCAAAAUAUUUUAAAGAGGAUUGCAUCUUAAAAUUUUUAAAUUUCCGACCUUAAAGACAUUUGAUAAUUAAUUAGGUACCAAUUUUUGGGCGUUACGAGGGUGCUAAUCCUUCCUCGUACGUAAUCUACUCCAGAACCCGUUCUUUUAUUUCGUAGACCAAAACCAAUGAUUUAUUGGUGAUCCAAUCACACCUAAAAAAGAUUGGUGGCGACUCCCGUUUUCGUUUUUCUUAAAGUCAAUUCCCAUUUUCAAAAAAAUCGAUUUAGAAAAUGGUUUCGACAUUAGCCACUGGUGCAAAGGUUUCAAAAUAGUCAAUGCCAUACAUUUGGCUGAACCCUUUUACAACCAGCCUUGCUUUCAGUUUGUUCAAGCUUCUAUCAGCAUUGUGCUUGGAUCUAAACACCCACUUCACUGUAAUGACUUUUCUGUUGAGUGGUCUUUCAACUAGCUGUUAGGUCUGAUUCUUCUCAAUCAUACUAAUUUCAUCAGCCAUUACCUGUUUCCAGCCUUGAUGAGCUUCAGCUUCUUUAAAGCAGCUUGGUUCAAUAGUAGCCACAUGAGCUUUUUUAUAAAUCUCAGCCAAUGGUCUAAUGCCUCUAACUGGUUCAUCAUCAAUGUCUAUUUCAGGACCAUUUUGAUCAGCUUCAGUCUAAUUUGUCACCAAAUCUUCAGCAUCAGUUUCUGGUUUGUUUUUAUCUUAGUUCCAGCUUGCCUUCGCAUCGAAUACAACAUCUUUGCUCUUAGAGACCUUGUUUAUCAAAGGAUCAAGUAUCCUAUAACCCUUCUUGUUACUAUUGUAGCCCACCAGAAUACCAGGUUGAGCUUUUUUAGCAAGCUUGUCUCUUUUUGCUGCAGGAACAUGAGCAUAACAAAUGUAGCCAAAGACUCUUAGGUGAGCCAAUGAUGGUUUGAACCCGAACUAGGCCUCGAAUGGAGUUUUCCGAGCAAAAGGCUUGGUUGGGAGCCUAUUUUGAAGGUAAACAGUAGUGUUAACUGCUUCUGCCCAAAAUGUCUUAGGAAAAUUUCUUUCAAACAUUAGGCACCUGGCCAUAUCCAUCAAGCUUCUGUUCUUUCUUUCACUUACACCAUUUUGUUAAGGUGUAUAAGUGUUGGUGAGCUGGUGUUUGAUGUCUGCUUCAUCACAAAACAUAUGUAACUCGAAUGAAGUAUUCUCAGUCCCAUUAUCUGACCUCAAUGUCUUCAACUUGUAACUUGUUUCAGUCUCUGCUGCAACUUUGAACUUCAAAAAUACUGAAGCCACUUCUGAUUUUUGUUUAAAAAAAGAAAUCCAGCAAUAUCUUGAGUAAUCAUUAAUGAAUAAGAUGAAAUACCUGUUGCCAUUCAGAGAUUGAGUCUUCAUUGGACCACACACAUCAGUGUGUACAAGUUGAAGUCUUUCAGAAGCUCUCCAGGCUUUGUUUGUAGGAAAUGGAAGUCUAGCUUGUUUUCCUAGCUGACAUAUUUCACAAACAUUUUCUUUUUCAACUGAGUUAGUGAAGUUUUUAGCCGAAUCUACUUUGGUUAGCUAAGUCAUUGAGUUGUAGAUGACAUGGCUAAGUUUUUUGUACCACAGCUUGGAUUCAUCCUGAGGAGCUGUGUAGGCAUUGUUUGCGCCCUUGUUCCAGUCCACCACAAAGCUUUUGUUAGCCAUGGUCACUGAUAUGAGCUUGGAUCCAUUUGGAUCAUUGAUUAGGCACUCUUUGCCUUUGAACACCACAAAGUAUCCCUUUUCUAGCAACUAAGCUAUACUGAGCAGGUUUCUAUCUAUUUCGGGCACCAAAAGUACAUUUGAAACAAGUUUGGUAACUGUAGGAGUGUCAAUCAGCGCAUCUCCUUUGCCUUCUGCUUUGAUGAAGUGUCUAUUUCCAGCCUUCACCCUUGUUUUGAAGCUUUUGUCUAUUGACUUGAAGAUAGUAGCAUCUGGAGUCAUGUGGUUAGUACAUCCACUGUCAAUCAACCAUCCUUUUGUGGCUUUUCUUUUGGUAGUUGAGCAAGAAACUGCAAAGACUUGCUCUUCUUUGUCACUACCUUCUUCUGCUACUUGAGCUUUAGCUCUUGGCUGUUGAGGUUGAUUUGACCUCUGUUUGCCUUUUUUUUUACAAACUUUGUCUGCAUGGCCCAUCUUUUUGCAGAUUUUGCACUGCACAUCAGGCCUAAACCAACAUACUUCACCUGGAUGACUUAGCCUUUUGCAGUGUGGGCAAGGUGGAUAUUUUCUUGUACCAUCUGUUCUAGGUUUAUCUUUCCAAGUUUUUUUCCCCUCAUAGGUAGAAGAGUUUGUGGCUAGUCUGGUUUUGGCUUCGAAGGCACAUUCUUGAUUCUCCUCCAGUCUAUUUGCUCUCCUUUGCUCUUGAGCAUAAAGAGCAUUGAUCAGCUCUGUCAAUAAAAUAUUGGUCAGGUCCCUCGAGUCUUCAAGAGAUGAGAUCUUUGCCUCAUACCUUUUAGGUAAGGUUGAGAUCACCUUUUCCACAAUUCUUGCUUCACUAAAUUGUUCUCCAAGUAGCCUUAUGCUGUUUACUACAACCAUGAUUCUAUCUGAGUAUUACUUCACUGUUUCUUCCUCUUUCAUCUUAAAGUUUUUAAAGUUUUUUCUUAAAUUCAGUAGCUGUUGCUACUUUGUUCUUUCAGUCCCUUGGAACUCCUCCUUUAACUUAUCCCAGGCCUGCUUUGGUGACUCACAAGCCAUGAUUCAUGUGAAAAUCACAUCAGAUACACUGUUCUGGAUGCAAGACAUGGCUUUAUGCCUUUUGGUUCCUUCAUCAGAAUGAUGUCUUAUCUGAGCCACUGUUAGGUUGGCUCUAAGAGGUGCUGGUUCAACAUCUGAGUUGAAAACCUCCCACAAAUCGAAUGCCUGCAGGUAGGUCUUCAUUUUCAUUACCUAAAUGUGGUAGCCCUCUCCAUUGAAGACUGAUGGUGGCACUAGUGAGAAUCCUGAGGAAGACAUGGUUUUAAGGAUUGAAAUAUGACAGGUCCACUAAGAAUUUGGCUCUAGAUACCAAUUGUUGGAUUUUGAACAAUUUAUCCGGAGAAAGUAUGAAGCUCAGUGUAAAACUUGAUCAACAAUGUAAUAAAUCCGAAUAAAGAAUGAGGAAAGAUUGAGCUUCAAAAGGCUCGAUAUUUGUAGGAUAAACAAAUAGAAUUUUACUUGGUAAAAGAAAGCAAAAAUUGAAAGAGUAUUUUUCUUGAAUGACUUCUAUUAAAAUUCAUUGAUAAAAAAGAUGGCAUAAUGCCAAUACAUAUACCAGUCAUAAACUGGUCAGCUUUGAUAAGUUUCACUUACUAUUUUUAGGCUUCAUUUCAACUUGCACAACUUGCACAUUGCAACUUGCAAAUCACAACUUGCACAAUUAGGUAAGCUAAUCUAUCAAUCUUAUCAGCACCGAAUGCAUUAAAUACAUUAUCUACUUGGUUCAAAUUAAACUAAGUUACAAAAUAUUACUUAAAGUAACAAAAUGAAACUGAAAUUGAACAGUAGCAUCAACUUCAGUAGCUGCACGUGCUUUAUCUGGGAAUACCACAGCAGCUUGAUCUUCAUACUUCAUCUACAUAACUUGGACUACAUUUACUUCAUCUGCAUAACUUAUGUGGCAUUGUCUGCUCCUUAGCUGCUUCAUGUGCUGCAUGCAAGCCAACUUCAAUAGAUUUGCAAACAAAACUUGGCAGGGUUGUAUUAGGGAAUGGAAGAGAAACCACCUCUCGGUUGGUAUAAGAUUUAAUACUGAUGAUGGUAGAAACAGUACAACCGACUUUGCUGCCAUAGGUGGUGUAUCAUGGGGGUUAUUGGUUUAGAAAAUUUGCGCAUAACCUUAAUUGUUGCUCAAUCAUUGAAGCAGAAAUGUAGGAGGCGUAUGAUGGUUUUUAUAACAUGCUUGGAACAUGAGGGUGAAGAGGAGAGCCUUGCAGUGGUCCAGCUACUUCGCAAUAAAAUGGAAAUGCAGAGCAGCAAUGCAAUCUAUCCUUCAAAUAGAAGUAUGUUGGAAAUGGGUCUAAACGUUAAUAUUAUAUAAGUCUACAUAGAAGGAAAGGGUCUUCCUUCCUACUUCACGUUUCAUUUACUAAACCAAUAAUUGGCUUGAUCAUUCUUGUCUUCAUGGAAGAAGGAAACUGCAAAAGAUAGGAUAAAACUGCCCUCAAAAAAAAAAUUACUAACCUUGAACAACAUUGUGAGGAGGGAUAACUACAAAUUCAAACAUGGACAAUAAAACAAACAUAAAAAAUACCUAAUGGAGUCUUAUAAAUAAGGAAAUUGCAUGUUAAAACGCUUAUGCAAUUAACAAUUACUACACAUUUACUAAGCCAAUUGGCUUGGUCUUUUUGUCUUCAUGGAACUUGGUAAAGAGAGUGAUGAAACCAUCAUACACCCCACAAAAUGACAGAUAAAAUUACUAACCUUGAACGACAUUGUUGAGAGGGACAGUUGCAAACUUAAAUAUGGACAGUAAAAUGAACAUGAAAAGUACUAAAUAUAUAUAAUUAACGAUAUAUAAAUAAUCUAGUAUGUUGGUAUUAUAAAUUUACUGUAUUUCAAAAUAUAUAUUCUCUUAGAGAGAGAGAGAGAGAGAGAGAGAGAGAGAGAGAGAAGAGGGAGGGAGGGAGGGAGAAGGAGCAUUAGGAGGAUUCUUCUACCAAGAGAGUGACUUAUACUUUCAUAAUAACAGCUUACAAUUUGCUUAAAAAGAAGAGACAAGUGACAAUUUUUGAGUCUUAUGAAAAAGUAAGACUUGUGUUAAAAUGCUUAUACAAUUAACCACUACAUCACAUUUACUAAACCAAUUGGCUUGGUCUUCUUGUUUUCAUGGAAGAACCUGCAAAAGAUAAGGAUGAAACCAUCAUAUACCCCCUUAAAAAAAAACUAAUUCAAUCAACCCGAUGUUACAUAAUUACUAACAUUUAACCAUAUUGUGGGGGAGAGGUAACCAGGAUUUUCUUAGAGAGAGAGAGAGGACAUGUGCAAGAGCAUUAGGAGGAUUCUUCUCAAAAUUGCCAAGACAGUCACUUACACUUUCUUAAUACUGACUUACAAUUAACUUAAAAAAAAGAAGACAAAUAAAAAUUUUGCAGUCUAAUAAACAAGCAAGUCCGUGUGUUAAAAUGCUUAUGCAAUUAACCACUACUUCACAUUUACUAAACCAAUUGGCUUGGUCUUCUUUUUUUCAUUGCGGAACCUGUAAAAGAAAGGGAUGAAACCAUCAUACACACCCUCGAAAAAAAUGACAUAGAUAUAAUUACUAACUUUGAACGACAUUAUUGGGAGGGACAGUUGCGAGCUUAAACAUGGACAGUAAAAUGAACAUGAAAAAUGACAAAUAUAUAUAUAAUCAUCGAUUUCUAAACAAUCCAGUAUGUUGGUGUUAUAAAUGUAGUGUAUUUCAAUAUAUAUUUUGUUAGAGAGGGGGAGAGAGAGAGAGAGAGAGCAUUAGGAGAAUUUUUCUCAAAAUUGUCAAGAAAGUCACUUACACUUUCAUAAUUCCGACUUACAAUUAACUUAAAAAGAAAAACAAAUAACAACUUUAGAGUUUUAUAAAUAAACAAGAAGUGUCUUAAAACACUUACGCUAUUAACCACUACUUAACAUUUGCUAAACCAAUUGGCUUGGUCUUCUUCAUGGAGGAACUUGCAAAAGUGAUGCAACCUAUCCGAGAUGAUAGUGAUGAAACCAUCAUACAACCCCCUCCCCUCCAAAAAAAAAAAAAACAAAAACAUUUUAAUCAACCUUACAUUAUGGAUAAAAUUAUUUACUUUAAACAACAUUAUUGAGAGGGGCAGCUAUAAACUCAAACAUAAAUAGUAAAAUAUAUAUUUUCUUAGAGAGAGAGGACAAGUGGAAGAGCAUUAGAGAGAUUCUUCUCAAAAGUCACUUAUGAAAUUGUUAAGAGAGUCACUUACACUUUCAUAAUACUGACUUAAAACGAAGAGGUAAGUAACAAUUUUAGAUUCUUAUAAACAAGACAGACGUGAUAAAAUGCUUAUGAAAUUAACCACUACUGCCCUCCUACCGUUUAAACAAUGGACACAAAUCCUAAAUAUUGAUGUAUGCUUACUGCAAUUGAACCUAUUCGAAAUUCGAUAACUUUGAAGCUACUUGAACCACUAAUUAGUCAAAAUACCUACAUAUAUUACCAGAAGUAACUGCAGUUGAAGGAAUCUUACACCUGAAACAGUCAAGCUACACUUAUCGAAAUGUAAAACAUUAAUCUAACAAGACAAACACUGACUAGUAUUUUCUUUUUCCUACUUAAGAAGCUUAAAUACUAGUAAAGCCACAGUCUUCCAUGACUGAACAUAUAAAUCAAGAGUGACAGCAAAUCUACUGGAUGUUUCACAUCCUAACUUUCUCUAGAUAAAUAGAACAAUUUUCUUGUUUUGCCUUGACUCUAAAAUCUCUUAUAACCCUAAGCAAUAUCGCAGAUUGUGACCAUUAAUAUCGAAUGGGUUUUAUUCCCACUAACCUUGUUAAUGCUUUACAACACCAAUGAAUUCUAUGCAAUCUUAAAAUUGAGGAGCUCCACAAGUGAAAUCAUGACAGCAAUAACAAUAUUUUUAUAGUAAUUUCUCAAAGAUUCAUCAACUUUCAGUUUAGUAUCUCUGCAAAUCUUUGAUGAUUCUCCAAUUAUACAGACUAGACUUCAAUAAAGCAUUCAUUAUUAUGAUACUCUUGAUUCAGGUUCAUUAAACAAACGGUUUGAAGAACACACACCUGCUAGCCAUUUUGCACCGAAAUAUGCUAAGAGAGAUGUUAGUCACAGUCUUAAAUUAUUGACGGACCCAUGGUUUCAAUAAACCUUUCCAUACCUUCAAAGAAGUAAGUUUUCAAUGGUAAGGACUUGCAAUCGAACUGUAAUGGCCAAUUUUGACCCAGGCACAAGAAUAAAACAAUAAAUAACCAAUUAAUAAAACCUAGUGCCGCCCCUAACCUCUGCCACCAGCUGCCAUGGCAGCACCACCACCUGCUCCCGUUCCAUCGCCUGCAAACAGAGAAAAAGAAGCACGCAACAGAGAACCAAAACCCACACGCAACAAUAAAGGAACAAGCAGGAACGACAAAAAAAAUAGGAGUAAACAAGUCUUGUGAAUCUUAUAAAAACCCGAAAUUUACCUUUGCAUUUUUUUUAGCCACAAACAAAAGGCAGAAACUAUUAAUCUAAAAGAGAUUUUAAGGUGAUUUUUGGUUUUUACAAUAGUUUCUUUCAUCUAGUUCUUGGUUUUGAUUUCAUUUUUUUUCGUGUUUUAGUUCUUUUUUCUUUUUCAUGUACGAAAAUAAACGAAAAGGUAAAGAGAAAGGUAACCUCACCUUGAUCUUCCCACGGACUCAUCGCUGGAGAUCUCUUCUCCAAUGGCCAAAGUCGAAUCGGGGAGAGGGGGGACCUUUCUUUCGAUUUCUUGAGGGUUGAGAAGGCAUGGCCUUCGAAUGUGCCUCAAAACGAGGCUAAGAAGCCCAUCUCCGCACUUUCUGUUCUUUUUAAAAUUGGGGGCUGGAAAUGAAAUUAGAAAAGAAAGGUUUUUUUGUUGUAUAAAUGAUGAUGAUGGAAGGGCGCCGUUUGGUGGAGUGGGGGGUGUGCAUUCUCCCUAAAUGGGGAAUCUGCGAGAUUGGUCCUUCUCCUUUGCAACUUCAUUCGAUCAGGCCCCAGCUUCUGUUUUCUUUUGUUUUUUUAAUUUAGCUCUUAGAUUUCGCUUGGGUUACAUUCGGGUCCUUUGAAACACUGCACAUAGGGGUUGAGAAUAUUUUCCCAAUCAGUCCCUCGUUCUUUAUGCGUAUUUCAUUUCGGUCCUUAGUGGCCCCUUUUCUUUUUUUUAUUUACAAUUUGCACCUUAAAUCUUAAUUAAAUUUCAGC
rnacentral:lncRNA from 1 species